GACGAACGCUGGCGGCGUGCUUAACACAUGCAAGUCGAACGGAAAGGCCCUGCUUUUGUGGGGUGCUCGAGUGGCGAACGGGUGAGUAACACGUGAGUAACCUGCCCUUGACUUUGGGAUAACUUCAGGAAACUGGGGCUAAUACCGGAUAGGAGCUCCUGCUGCAUGGUGGGGGUUGGAAAGUUUCGGCGGUUGGGGAUGGACUCGCGGCUUAUCAGCUUGUUGGUGGGGUAGUGGCUUACCAAGGCUUUGACGGGUAGCCGGCCUGAGAGGGUGACCGGCCACAUUGGGACUGAGAUACGGCCCAGACUCCUACGGGAGGCAACAGUGGGGAAUAUUGCACAAUGGGCGGAAGCCUUAUGCAGCAACGCCGCGGGCGGGAUGACGGCCUUCGGGUUGUAAACCGCUUUCGCCUGUGACGAAGCGUGAGUGACGGUAAUGGGUAAAGAAGCACCGGCUAACUACGUG
rnacentral:rRNA from 1 species